rnacentral:rRNA from 1 species
CCAAGGUUUCCAGGGUAAAGCGGAUCUGCCCUGGGUGAGUCGGGACCGAAGGUGAGGGCGAGAGACGGAGGCGAUGGACAACAGGUUGAUAUUCCUGUACUGCAGUAUGACAGAACUGUGGGGACACGUAAGGAGAGCGGGAGCCGGGAAUGGAAAGCCCGGUACAAGCGAGGUACCAGUAUGGUAGGAAAAUCCGCCAUGCAAUGGGAAGACGUGAUGUGGAGUGAAUUUUAGUAACGAAGCCCGUGAGCCAUGCGUCAAGAAAAGCCGCUAUUGUUCAUAUUGUACCCGUACCGUAAACCGACACAGGUGGAUGAGGAGAGAAUCCUAAGGCCGGCGGAAGAAGUAUUGCCAAGGAACUCGGCAAAAUGGCCCCGUAACUUAGGGAGAAGGGGUGCCUGCGAGAGCAGGCCGCAGAGAAUAGGCUCAAGCAACUGUUUAGCAAAAACACAGGUCUAUGCGAAACCGAAAGGUGAGGUAUAUGGGCUGACGCCUGCCCGGUGCUGGAAGGUUAAGAGGAGAGGUUAGCGGUAACGCGAAGCUUUGAAUUUAAGCCCCAGUAAACGGCGGCCGUAACUAUAACGGUCCUAAGGUAGCGAAAUUCCUUGUCGGGUAAGUUCCGACCCGCACGAAAGGCGUAAUGAUUUGAGCGCUGUCUCGGCAAUACAUCCGGUGAAAUUGAAGUGCCAGUGAAGAUGCUGGCUACCCGCGCCAGGACGGAAAGACCCCAUGGAGCUUUACUCCAGUUUGGCACUGGGGUCCGGUGUUGCAUGUACAGGAUAGGUGGGAGGCUGAGAAACGGUAACGUCAGUUGCCGCGGAGCCGCUGUUGGGAUACCACCCUUGUGAUAUUGGGCUUCUAACCAGCCGCCGUAAUCCGGCGGUGGGACAAUGCCAGGCGGGGAGUUUGACUGGGGCGGUCGCCUCCGAAAGGGUAUCGGAGGCGCCCAAAGGUUCCCUCAGAAUGGACGGAAACCAUUCGAAGAGUGCAAAGGCAGAAGGGAGCUUGACUGCGACACCGACGGGUGGAGCAGGUACGAAAGUAGGGCUUAGUGAUCCGGUGGUAUUAAGUGGGAAUGCCAUCGCUCAACGGAUAAAAGCUACCCUGGGGAUAACAGGCUUAUCACUCCCAAGAGUUCACAUCGACGGAGUGGUUUGGCACCUCGAUGUCGGCUCAUCGCAUCCUGGGGCUGUAGUA